UGGGGAAUAUUGCACAAUGGAGGAAACUCUGAUGCAGCGACGCCGCGUGAGUGAAGAAGUAAUUCGUUAUGUAAAGCUCUAUCAGCAGGGAAGAUAGUGACGGUACCUGACUAAGAAGCUCCGGCUAAAUACGUGCCAGCAGCCGCGGUAAUACGUAUGGAGCAAGCGUUAUCCGGAUUUACUGGGUGUAAAGGGAGUGUAGGUGGCCAUGCAAGUCAGAAGUGAAAAUCCGGGGCUCAACCCCGGAACUGCUUUUGAAACUGUAAGGCUGGAGUGCAGGAGGGGUGAGUGGAAUUCCUAGUGUAGCGGUGAAAUGCGUAGAUAUUAGGAGGAACACCAGUGGCGAAGGCGGCUUACUGGACUGUAACUGACGUUGAGGCUCGAAAGCGUGGGGAGCAAAC
rnacentral:rRNA from 1 species